CUUCCUUUCCAUCACGAGUGUGAAGCUACUGCGGAAAUUCAGCCGAGAAUUCGCAGUAGCUUC
rnacentral:sRNA from 1 species